rnacentral:rRNA from 1 species
AACGAACGCUGGCGGCAUGCCUAACACAUGCAAGUCGAACGAGACCUUCGGGUCUAGUGGCGCACGGGUGCGUAACGCGUGGGAACCUGCCCUUAGGUUCGGAAUAACUCCCCGAAAGGGGUGCUAAUACCGGAUAAUGUCUUCGGACCAAAGAUUUAUCGCCUUUGGAUGGGCCCGCGUUGGAUUAGCUAGUUGGUAGGGUAAAAGCCUACCAAGGCGACGAUCCAUAGCUGGUCUGAGAGGAUGAUCAGCCACACUGGGACUGAGACACGGCCCAGACUCCUACGGGAAGCAGCAGUGGGGAAUAUUGGACUAUGGGCGAAAGCCUGAUCCAGCAAUGCCGCGUGAGUGAUGAAGGCCUUAGGGUUGUAAAGCUCUUUUACCCGGGAUGAUAAUGACAGUACCGGGAGAAUAAGCUCCGGCUAACUCCGUG